rnacentral:rRNA from 1 species
AUGGUUGGCGAGUCCAAGGCCGUCUCUAUCCAGGCCUCCGUGGUCGAGGCGAACUGCACUAACAUCGAUGUCUGCCCUGAACUGUUUGCAUCUAAAAGCUCUUGUGACGAUGGAAAGUCUACCUCCAAGGGACCAAAAAAGAAAAUCGGUCCUAAAAGAUCUUCGCCUGACACAUCUACUCACGAUGACAGUGAAGUAUAUCAAGCUGGUGCUAAAAGAAGGACUCUUAACCCCUCUAUUCCUCAUAAGGAGAGCUUGGAGUCUGAAGAUUUUUCUGCAAAGUUUAUCUUGGACAUGAUUCUCAAAGAAGAUACAGAUGUGCAUGCUUCAUAUCUUCUACACGCUUAUGCAAAGCAGGAUUUUAUUCAUAUUUUGAUGAGCUUAAUUUCUUAUGCUAAUGUUUGCUUCCGCCUGAAGGAUACAUAUGGUAUGUUUUGUGAGCGGUGGGUAUGGAUGAGUAAUGCCCUGCUACUCCUUGGGGGGCGUGAGUGA